UUGAUAAAAGAAAUUAAAAACUAGACUCAGAAGGAAGCUCAAGAACAAUUUUGUUUUGGGAGAAAAAUAGUACAGGCAAGCUGAAAACCCCAGCAGCCACGAGGAAGAGGGGAAAUGCUGGUCCUGGGUGGUCCUUCCUAACAAGUUUCACAGUCACUUCUUAAAUGGAUGGUUCUCUCUCCUGAGACUGCCUCCAAGCUUAACUAACAGAGGCUUCGAUGUCAACAGAGAUUCAAUAUUAUCCUCGAAAAAAGGAUCGGAAGGAAGGACCUCGUUUGCCUGUUAUUUCUGCCACUUAAGGUGAGCCAUGAUGUCAUCCCAACCAAUGGAAUGCAGUGGAAAUCGACUGAGUAUUUCUAGAAAUGUCUUUGCUUUCAGAUCUCUCCUUUCUUUCUGUCUGAAUGGGUAAACAUGAAAUCUGAAACGGGGGGGAGGCCACCUUGGAACCACAGGUAACAAGCUUCAGGAUUCUGAGAAGAAAAGAAUGGAAACACAGCCCCGAGUCCUUGAUGGCAUCUUCGAUCUGCCUCACCAACCCUGGACUCUUGACCUCCCAGCUUCUUGUUACAUGAGAUUUUGAAAUUUUAAAAAACAACAAAAACAAUAAAGCUUUAAGCCAUUGUUAGA